rnacentral:misc_RNA from 1 species
GUACAAGUUGUCCUCAAAUAAAGCAUCCUUCCACUGCUUUUCCUGUAAGACUUUUAACGCAUCAUCUAUCAUGCUGUUUUUCACAUAAACCAUCACCAGACUUGAACAAGAUAUCUGGUUUCUCAAAACAUGAUCAUAUAAAGAACCUCUCAAGAUUGAAGGAACUUCAUGAAUGAGUUCAAGCUUCUCAUAUGCUUGCAAAAGAAUGCCAAG